GACGAACGCUGGCGGCGUGCUUAACACAUGCAAGUCGAACGGAAAGGCCCUGCUUUUGUGGGGUGCUCGAGUGGCGAACGGGUGAGUAACACGUGAGUAACCUGCCCUUGACUUUGGGAUAACUUCAGGAAACUGGGGCUAAUACCGGAUAGGAGCUCCUGCUGCAUGGUGGGGGUUGGAAAGUUUCGGCGGUUGGGGAUGGACUCGCGGCUUAUCAGCUUGUUGGUGGGGUAGUGGCUUACCAAGGCUUUGACGGGUAGCCGGCCUGAGAGGGUGACCGGCCACAUUGGGACUGAGAUACGGCCCAGACUCCUACGGGAGGCAGCCGUGGGGAAUAUUGCACCAUGGGCGGAAGCCUGAUGCAGCAACGCCGCGUGGGGGAUUACGGCCUUCGGGUUGUAAACCGCUUUCGCCUGUGACGAAGCGUGAGUGACGGUAAUGGGUAAAGAAGCACCGGCUAACUACGUG
rnacentral:rRNA from 1 species